rnacentral:rRNA from 1 species
GAUAAACGCUGGCGGCGUGCUUAACACAUGCAAGUCGAACGAAGUUUUUCUUUCGGGAGGAACUUAGUGGCGGACGGGUGAGUAACGCGUGGGUAACCUGCCCUGUACAGGGGGACAACAGCUGGAAACGGCUGCUAAUACCGCAUAAGCCCUUAGCACUGCAUGGUGCAUAGGGAAAAGGAGCAAUCCGGUACAGGAUGGACCCGCGUCUGAUUAGCCAGUUGGCAGGGUAACGGCCUACCAAAGCGACGAUCAGUAGCCGAUCGGAGAGGAUGUACGGCCACAUUGGGACUAAGACACGGCCCAGACUCGUACGGGAGGCAGCAGUGGGGAAUAUUGCACAAUGGAGGAAACUCUGAUGCAGCGACGCCGGGUGAGUGAAGAAGUAUGUUGGUAUGUAAAGCUCUAUCAGCAGGAAAGAAAAUGACGGUACCUGACUAAGAAGCACCGGCUAAAUACGUG